rnacentral:tRNA from 1 species
GCGACCGUAGUUUAGGGGUAGAACGGGAGCUUGCCAAGCUCCAGGCGGGAGUUCGAGUCUCCUCGGUCGCUCCA